CCCACUAGCCAAGAGUAWCAACGACCGGACAUUUACAGAGCUCUCGUCAGCCAAACAUAUGGCAAAAAUAUACGUUGUUCUUUCUUUUUAUGUGGUGUGCACUACAUUUUAAAAAUUCCGCCGAAAAAGAGAAGACGAUUUUCCGAAACAUUUUCGCCGUUAUCUCACGGCUUCCUCUUCUCUUUACAGGUGUAUAACUGCUACCCAGAAGGCCUAGGGGCGGCCCUUUACCGGGAGCGCUUUGACUUCAACGCUGAGCCGCCUUGGGAUCCCAGCUGAUAGCGGGACACGGCCAUCUACAGACUUGCCCAUGACCCACGGCUCAGUUGCGACUUUGACCUGACUACUACUUCUUUAUGAUUGUCUGCUGAAUACGGUUGAGAUGAAAGGACUCGCUGACGAACUAAACCACACGAUCGAACUCCUGGAGGGAGGAACCACCCUGGAAGAUGUCAUCGAUGGACACGUUUACGAACAAGCUCUGGCUGAAAAGAGUGUGUUUGUAGUGUCUGACCUUGGGUCCCUGAUGAGACAGCAUGUCCAAUGGCAGCUCACCAUGCCCCAGAUCAGGCCCUACUACCAGGUCCAGUCCAACAGCAGCCCGGUUGUCAUCGAGGUCCUGGCCUCUCUCGGCCUCGGCUUCGUCUGUGCUAACAAGGUGAGUGGUACCUUUUUUUA